rnacentral:lncRNA from 1 species
CGGUUUUCCUAAAACUACCGGUUCACGUUGGUUUUCCAACGUCUUCUUCAAAUCGCGACUUUCCCCUCUUUCCGCCAGCAGUGACUUUUGCCGACCCAACUCCGGUCGUCUCCCCUACACGAGCACCUCGUCGUUCUAACACCCACGAACUUGCACAACCGUCUGUCAUCUUUGAAUCGCAAGUGGAAUUCAGACGUCAUCAAUGGAAUCGCAGUUCCGUCACCGCGAAAUCUCGCGAAUCGCGAUUCUGCGAGGCAACGGCGAAUCCAGAAAUUUUUUCUUCAGGGGGCUAAUUUAGUAUUAUUUAGUAAUAUUUAAAACCAUAAAGUUUAUAAAAAUAAAAUAUUUUAUAUUAUUAUAUUUAUAUAUUUUAAACAGUAGAGUAUAGCAUAUUUUUUAUUUUUUUGGAGGGC